rnacentral:rRNA from 1 species
GACGAACGCUGGCGGCGUGCUUAACACAUGCAAGUCGAACGGAAAGGCCUCGUGUUUGUGGGGUGCGCUCGAGUGGAAAACGGGAGAAUCACACGAGUGUGAUGUGCCUUGCUUUCUGAUAUCUUCUUGAAACUGUGGCUCUUAUACCAUAUAAGAUCCGGCUUUAUGGUGGGGGUUGGAAAGUUUCUUCGGUGGGGGAUGAACUCGCGGCCUAUCAGCUUGUUGGUGGGGUAAUGGCUUACCAUGGCUUCGAUGGGUAGCCGGCCUGAGAGGGUGACCGGCCACAUUGGGACUGAGAUACGGCCCAGACUCCUACGGGAGGCAGCAGUGGGGAAUAUUGCACAAUGGGCGGAAGCCUGAUGCAGCAACGCCGCGUGCGGGAUGACGGCCUUCGGGUUGUAAACUCCUUUCGACUGUGACGAAGCGCGAGUGACGGUACCUGUAAAAGAAGCACCGGCUAACUACGUGCCAGCAGCCGCGGUGAUACGUAGGGUGCGAGCGUUGUCCGGAUUUACUGGGCGUAAAGAGCUCGUAAGUGGUUUGUCGCGUCGGAUGUGAAAUUCCGGGGCUUAACUCCGGGCGUGCUUUCGAUACGGGCAUAACUUGAGUGCUGUAGGGGAAACUGGAAUUCCUGGGGUAGCGGGGAAAUGCCCAAAUUUCAGGAGGAACCCCGAUGGGGAAGGGAGGUCUCUGGGCCUUUACUGACCCUAAAGAACGAAAGCAUGGGUAGCGAACAGGAUUAAAUACCCUGGUAGUCCCUGCCCUAAACGGGGGGCGCUAGGGGGAGGGGGCUUCCACGUCUUCUGUGCCGUAGCUAACGCAUUAAGCGCCCCGCCUGGGGAGUACGGCCGCAAGGCUAAAACUCAAAGGAAUUGACGGGGGCCCGCACAAGCGGCGGAGCAUGUGGAUUAAUUCGAUGCAACGCGAAGAACCUUACCUGGGCUUGACAUACACCAGAUCGCUGCAGAGAUGUACUUUCCCUUGUGGUUGGUGUACAGGUGGUGCAUGGUUGUCGUCAGCUCCUGCUCGGAGAUGGUUGGUUAAGUCCCGCAACGAGCGCAACCCUUGUCUUAUGUUGCCAGCAUUUUGGUUGGGGACUCAGGAGAGACCGCCGGGGUCAACUCGGAGGAAGGUGGGGAUGACGUCAAAUCAUCAUGCCCCUUAUGUCCAGGGCUUCACACAUGCUACAAUGGUCGGUACAGCGAGCAGCGACCCUGUGAGGGGGAGCGAAUCUCGGAAAGCCGGUCUCAGUUCGGAUUGGGGUCUGCAACUCGACCCCAUGAAGUCGGAGUCGCUAGUAAUCGCAGAUCAGCAACGCUGCGGUGAAUACGUUCCCGGGCCU